rnacentral:rRNA from 1 species
GACGAACGCUGGCGGCGUGCCUAACACAUGCAAGUCAACUUGACUGAAGGAGCAAUCUGACAGUAGAGUGGCGCAAGGGUGCGUAACGCGUAAGUAACUUGCCCAAGGUAAGGAAUAACGUCGAGAAAUCGGCGCUAAUACCUCAUAAUGCAGCGGAUCCGCAUGGAUAUGUUGUUAAAGGUUUACCGCCUUGGGAUAGGCUUGCGUCUGAUUAGCUAGUUGGUGUGGUAACGGCACACCAAGGCUACGAUCAGUAACUGGUCUGAGAGGAUGAUCAGUCACACUGGAACUGAGACACGGUCCAGACUCCUACGGGAGGCAGCAGUGAGGAAUAUUGGGCAAUGCUCGAAAGAGUGACCCAGCAACGCCGCGUGAGGAUGAAGGUAUUCUAUAUCGUAAACUCCUGUGAGAGCAGACGAAAGACAGAUUAUUAAUCUGGAUGACUGUAUGCUCAGAGGAAG